GCUUAACACAUGCAAGUCGAGGGGCAGCAUUUUAGUUUGCUUGCAAACUGAAGAUGGCGACCGGCGCACGGGUGAGUAACACGUAUCCAACCUGCCGAUAACUCCGGAAUAGCCUUUCGAAAGAAAGAUUAAUACCGGAUAGCAUACGAAUAUCGCAUGAUAUUUUUAUUAAAGAAUUUCGGUUAUCGAUGGGGAUGCGUUCCAUUAGUUUGUUGGCGGGGUAACGGCCCACCAAGACUACGAUGGAUAGGGGUUCUGAGAGGAAGGUCCCCCACAUUGGAACUGAGACACGGUCCAAACUCCUACGGGAGGCAGCAGUGAGGAAUAUUGGUCAAUGGGCGAGAGCCUGAACCAGCCAAGUAGCGUGAAGGAUGAAGGCUCUAUGGGUCGUAAACUUCUUUUAUAUGGGAAUAAAGUUUUCCACGUGUGGAAUUUUGUAUGUACCAUAUGAAUAAGGAUCGGCUAACUCCGUGCCAGCAGCCGCGGUAAUACGGAGGAUCCGAGCGUUAUCCGGAUUUAUUGGGUUUAAAGGGAGCGUAGGUGGAUUGUUAAGUCAGUUGUGAAAGUUUGCGGCUCAACCGUAAAAUUGCAGUUGAAACUGGCAGUCUUGAGUACAGUAGAGGUGGGCGGAAUUCGUGGUGUAGCGGUGAAAUGCUUAGAUAUCACGAAGAACUCCGAUUGCGAAGGCAGCUCAUUAGACUGUUACUGACACUGAUGCUCGAAAGUGUGGGUAUCAAACAGGAUUAGAUACCCUGGUAGUCCACACAGUAAACGAUGAAUACUCGCUGUUUGCGAUAUACAGUAAGCGGCCAAGCGAAAGCAUUAAGUAUUCCACCUGGGGAGUACGCCGGCAACGGUGAAACUCAAAGGAAUUGACGGGGGCCCGCACAAGCGGAGGAACAUGUGGUUUAAUUCGAUGAUACGCGAGGAACCUUACCCGGGCUUAAAUUGCAACAGAAUAUAUUGGAAACAGUAUAGCCGUAAGGCUGUUGUGGAGGUGCUGCAUGGUUGUCGUCAGCUCGUGCCGUGAGGUGUCGGCUUAAGUGCCAUAACGAGCGCAACCCUUAUCUUUAGUUACUAACAGGUCAUGCUGAGGACUCUAGAGAGACUGCCGUCGUAAGAUGUGAGGAAGGUGGGGAUGACGUCAAAUCAGCACGGCCCUUACGUCCGGGGCUACACACGUGUUACAAUGGGGGGUACAGAAGGCAGCUACACGGCGACGUGAUGCUAAUCCCAAAAACCUCUCUCAGUUCGGAUCGAAGUCUGCAACCCGACUUCGUGAAGCUGGAUUCGCUAGUAAUCGCGCAUCAGCCAUGGCGCGGUGAAUACGUUCCCGGGCCUUGUACACACCGCCCGUCAAGCCAUGAAAGCCGGGGGUACCUGAAGUACGUAACCGCAAGGAGCGUCCUAGGGUAAAACUGGUAAUUGGGGCUAAGUC
rnacentral:rRNA from 1 species